rnacentral:lncRNA from 1 species
UAGGAUCCUCCAAAACACACAUUUGUGAGACAGUAUCCCUUUUUGUCAAACCUAUGUAGUUAACCUUAUACAAAGGUAUUUUUACAUCCUUGCAGGUACAGUGUUCAAAUAUUCCUAAACUAUAAGCACCAUACCUUUAGGACAACCUGGUGUUCCAGCAAUUCUUCUAGUUCCUUCUGUUCCUUUACUAAUUGCUUUUGCUUAAAUGUCAAAUCUUCCCGCAAAUUUUUAAUUUCUAAUUUUUUCUGCAUUAUUUCUUUACGUAAUUCUUCAGUGCUGUCUCUGAGUAUUCUCAUCUUCUUCUCCAUUUCCUUUAAAAAGUCAUGAAAAUUAUCAGGUUAUAUAGUCUGAGCAAACAUUUAUCUAUGUAAAAAUGGAAUGAAACAGAAUUUUAUCUUUUUGAUUAUGUUUAUUUUGAAGUGCAUGAAUGUUUUCUUACAGAGUUAAAUGUAACUUAUGUUUUCUGAAGACAAGACUUAUGCUUGUCUUCAACAAGGACAUGACAAUUAUACUGCAUGCUUAAUUAAACAUUUUAUUUGAAUUUUUUAAACUAAUGCUUCAGUUUUUAAAUGUUUCCCUUUUCUGAGUCAAUUUUUAUUUCAUACCAAAAAACAUUAAUGACAAUGUCCAUUAUGUUUUCUAGUAGCUUUGGGAUUUGACAAAAUCAGCUGCAAAUAAUCUUUGAAUAUCUGGCUUAUGGUUAACUGGAGUCACACAUGGGAACUGAAGAUGAAAGGGUUCAUAUUUGAGGUGUCCAACUCGUUCCAUUUCUUAACUGUCCCACUUUCUCAUUACUAUUAUUUCUUUAGCUUCUAUGUUUUCCCCAAAUGUCCUCUACCCCAGACUCAGAAUAGAUUGCAUUUCCCAUGGCUUAUUAUCCAGAUAAUGCUUGACUUAUGAGAAAAAAAGCCUUCUUAUACUCAGAAAUGAUACAUGAUACUAAUGUCUAAGUAGAUGGGUCUGUUUAACCUGCUCUGGGAUUUCUGAGUAGGUCCCUCCUUCCACUGCUGCCAGGAAAGAGUAAAAUUAGUAAUCUACAACCUGAAACUAAAAUUCAAAAUGCUUUUUCUUAUAAAAUCUGUGUUGCAAACAGUGGUUAGAUGUAUUUAUGUACAAUUAAUAGUAUUUUACUAAAUGCUAAAUAGGUUUUUGUGGGCUAGCCAUGGAAUUAAAUCAUCAACAUAAUUUUAAAAUAUAACCAUUCAGAAAGCAAAUGCAAUAUUUGAUGCAUGAUGAUCUUUCUACUUAUUAUCUAAGGUAGAAAAAAUGGUCACAAAUUCCUCAUAUUCCUCAGGGUGUGCAUGCCUCUCUGUAAUAUAUAUUUGCUAUUCUUCUAUUAAAAGGAAAGGCCUAUUGUUCUAUAUCUUGAUUCCAGAAUUGGCC